GACGAACGCUGGCGGCGUGCUUAACACAUGCAAGUCGAACGGUAAGGCCCUGCUUUUGUGGGGUGCUCGAGUGGCGAACGGGUGAGUAACACGUGAGUAACCUGCCCUUGACUUUGGGAUAACUUCAGGAAACUGGGGCGAUAACAGCGCAUAACCACUUUAUGCAUGAGGGGGAUGGUAAAAUGCUGCCGUUGGAGCGGUUACGGAUGGUUCCGCGGUGUAUUAGCUGGUUGGUGGGGUACAGGCUCAUCAAGGGGAUGGCGGGUAGCCGGCCUGAGAGGGUGACCGGCCACAUUGGGACUGAGAUACGGGCCAGACUCAUACGGGAGGCAGCAGUGGGAGAUAUUGCACAAUGGGCGGAAGCCGGAUGCAGCAACGCCGCGUGCGGGAUGACGGCCUUCGGGUUGUAAACCGCUUUCGCCUGUGACGAAGCGUGAGUGACGGUAAUGGGUAAAGAAGCACCGGCUAACUACGUG
rnacentral:rRNA from 1 species